ACUUUUGUUGGAGAGGAGUCGUUAAUUGGCUAUAAAGUGUGUGAACGCACCUAUCUAGCAAAGUAUUGGAUUGUCACAAGGAAGUUUUUAAAAUCUAAUUUUCGUGUAUAUUUUGUAUUCAAUGUUCGAGAAUAUAACGUUGCAAGGAAAUUCUACGGAGGUAUCGGUAAUAUCCAAUUAAUUGUCCGUCGGUUUAAUCUUUUCUGUUAUUCGCGUCAUAAAUCGAGUGCAUCUCUCCUAUUUCCGGUAAUGAGCAGCAUGACGGCAUAAAUGUGCUUUUCUAGUGGAAGGAGGAAUUGUGCGUUAAUCAUUGAAAUAUUCGUGAAUAAGGAGGAUAGAGACAGCUUGUAAAUGACAUUGACCAAGUGUUAAAAUAUCAAUUUUCGAUAUUAAUUUGCUGAUUAACUGAAAUAUGCAAGCGAAAUAUGGUCUACUCUAGUCUGGAAAUGGUCGUUGGCGAUCGUUUGUGAAGAAAUGAAUAACAAUCGUAUGGUAAUGAAACUGAACUGGGUCUGGGAGACUGAUAAGUUUUGUGCGAGAAGUGGUCGAUAUUCAAAUCCAGGAUGUAUCAAUAAAGCACUGAAGGAUAAUGUGCGAUGAGGGAACCGUUUCAGAUUGUGUGAAUGAUUGAAACCUGAUGAAAUAACAUUUAGGCCUAAAAAAGAAAAAUGUUGUGGUACUGGUAACAUGAUUGCCAAAAUUGCUAGGCAGAAUUGAAGAAUCAGUGUCAGAUUAUCUUCACUUGAUAACAUAAAGGUUCGGACAUGAGCCAGGGUUGCAUUGAAUGAGGAAAAAUGUUUGUGCUGCGUUGAGCCAUGGUUUACACCAAAGUACAGAUUUUGAUGCUGUGAAAGGUUACAAUAGUGCAUUUAGAAAAGGUAUUCCAUGGCUUGAAAUAUUGGACGUAUUGGCGAAAAGUGAUUCAACAUCCCUUCAAACGUACAAAGUGUAGGUGAAAUGUGCAAUUAGAAGAAUACAGACUUUCAGUUAGAUGGGAAAAAGUCUAUUUAUUUGACAAAACAUAUUUCAAGCUAUUCACAAAGUAACAGUAAAUGUAAACAAAGUGUUCCAAAUUGGCUUGAAAUAAUGGAUGUAUUGUCGAAAACUAAUUCAGCAUACCUUCAAGGUGUAGAAAUUAUGUGCAAUUAGAAGAAUGCAAACUAAGGGUGUAACCAUACCAUACGUUAGUUUCACAGUACAAUACAUACCGGGAUACAGAUACAACAAUAUGGUACAUAUUGCGAUAAAAAUCAAUGGUCCUUCUUCUGGAAAAUAUUUGAAAUUUUGCUUUAAACAUUGUUAAAGUAAAAAAGCUGUAUUAAAUGAUACUUUUAUUUAGUUGCUUUCUUAUUAUUUGUAUGGAAUAUUUCAUUCAGUACUUUUCAAUGCAUUUUUACUUAUAUUGAAACAGGCCUAUGACACAUUACGCUUAUUGCCAGACUAAUGAGUAUUGAUACAGUGAAAUUUGAUAUAUCGUUACACCCUUAAAUGCAAACUUUCAAUGAGAUGAGAAAAAUUCUGUUUUUGUAACAUAACAUAUUUCGAUCUAUUUACAAAGUACAGUAAAUGUAAUAGUAAAUGCAUACAUUAACAAAGUAAUAAUUUAACCCUUAUCCUGCUAAAUUUAUAUAAUGAACUUAUCAAUCUUUCAAUUUUGACAGUACCAUUAACAGUUAAAAGGGGUGCUUACUAAAAGAUACUGACUGAAUGCCAAACAGUGCAAAUCAUGAUCAGACUGCACAGAUGUGCAGGUUGAUCAUGAUCUACUUUGGUCACAAAAGUUGAAUAAGUAGUGUCCAGCAUGAUAAGGGUUAAUAAAAAUCAUGAUGAUCAUAAAUUUCUUUUCAAGGAAUCACCUAUAUGUGCACUGUUUUCUGUCAAAAUGGAAUUACUGUAACUCAGUGUCUAUGCUUAUUGGCCAACUUUUUGUCAAAAUUACAAUUAUUUUGCUAAUAUGAAAGAAAUGUUUACGUAAAUUUCUAACAUUUGAUGGAAAGAGGAAUUUGAUCAUUAUGUUGUUGAGCUGAGUAAUUAAAUCGGAUGGUACAAAGUU
rnacentral:lncRNA from 1 species